rnacentral:rRNA from 1 species
UACAGAGGUCUCAAGCGUUGUUCGGAUUCAUUGGGCGUAAAGGGUGCGUAGGCGGCGCGGUAAGUCGGGUGUGAAAUCUCGGGGCUUAACUCCGAAACUGCACUCGAUACUGCCGUGCUUGAGGACUGGAGAGGAGACUGGAAUUUACGGUGUAGCGGUGAAAUGCGUAGAUAUCAGGAGGAACACCUGUGGCGAAAGCGCGUAACUGGGGCAUAACUGACGCUGAGGAACGAAAGCCAGGGUAUCCAAAGGG